rnacentral:rRNA from 1 species
UACAGAGGGGGCAAGCGUUGUUCGGAAUUACUGGGCGUAAAGGGCGCGUAGGCGGCCGCCUAAGUCAGACGUGAAAUCCCUCGGCUCAACCGGGGAACUGCGUCUGAUACUGGGUGGCUUGAAUCCGGGAGAGGGAUGCGGAAUUCCAGGUGUAGCGGUGAAAUGCGUAGAGAUGUGGAGGAACACCGAUGGCGAAGGCAGCCUUCUGGGCCAACACUGACGCUCAUGCACGAAAGCGUGGGGAGCAAACAGG